GGAGAUGUUGUCCAAGACGCCUCCCGUCAUCUUCGCCAAACUAGCUGAUAUAUGUAAGACCCGUGUUCAUGGAGAUCAGGAUCAGGACACUCAGCUCUACCCAGUCUACUGCAGCUCUCUGAAAGACAUGGUGUCUCGUAAAAGAGUGUUUCCCUACCAAGACUAGCGGUUGGGCACAUUAGCUUGUAAGCCCAUGAUCGCA